AAAUUGAAGAGUUUGAUCAUGGCUCAGAUUGAACGCUGGCGGCAGGCCUAACACAUGCAAGUCGAACGGUAGCACAGAGAGCUUGCUCUCGGGUGACGAGUGGCGGACGGGUGAGUAAUGUCUGGGAAACUGCCUGAUGGAGGGGGAUAACUACUGGAAACGGUGGCUAAUACCGCAUAAUGUCGCAAGACCAAAGAGGGGGACCUUCGGGC
rnacentral:rRNA from 1 species